AUGGAAAGAUCCGCGCCCCCGGCUGCGGGCCGCGCGUCCCGGGCUGGGAGCGCAGCGGGCUCGGGGAUGGGCAUCCAGCCACUGCAAGGCGGGCUGGGACGGGGACCGCGCGGGGCGGGCCAUCCCGGGUGGGCGUGCGCCCCGGGCGACCCAAGUGGAUCCGGGAUGGACCCGGAGGCGGGCAGCACCGACUGUAGAAAAGUUGUUAACUUUGCUCGUCCCGGAGCCACCGCGUCGAGGCAUUUCCAAAAGAGGGGCGAGAGGUCCGUGGCUCGCCUUCGUCCUGAAUGGAUCGAUAGUUUCCUGUUUACUCACUCCGGAGAGAGCGUGUACGCUGGCUUCCUGGAACAUACCCGAUAUCCUCACCUACCGACCAGAGUGAAUGAGGUGGAGAAAGGGGAAAGCGUGGCCUUUAUCUCCGUUUGUUGCGAAAGAUAACGGAAAUGGAGUCGGGCUGGGGGGCAAGAAGGCCCGAGAUGGAUCCCCAACAAAACUAGGCGUGGUGGCCAGCACACCUUUGAUCCCAGUACUUGGAGAGAUGGAAGCAGGAUAUUCAGAAGUUCAAAGUCAUCCUCGACUACGUAGAGAGUGAGAAGCAACUCUGGACUAAAUUUGACGCCGAGUGAUUGGUGGAUAAAAGUGGAAAUAACCUAGCGUGGUGACUCUCUUUAAUCCUGGCGCUUGGGAAACAGGCAGGGCAGUCUAUGAAUUUGAGGCCAGCCUGGUCUACAUAGUGAUUUCCAGAACAGCCAGAGCUACAAAGUUAGAUGGGGGGGGGGGGAUCUGAAAAAGGAAUUACUCUGAAGCUUUUCUGCAUGGGCACUGCAUUUUACUCUCCUGUGGUCAGGACAGAUACUGCAGUGAAAAGGCAAAAGGAUGAAGAAGAAAAAAAUACUGUUUUUAAAUGUGUCUUUGCCUACCUUGUGAUUUUUUUGUUUGUUUGUAUUUUGGGUUGGUUUUGGUUUUUGGAGACAGGAUUUCUCUGUGUAACAGUCCUCAAACUCACAAAGAGAUUCCCCCUACCACUGCCUCCAAGUGCUGAGAUUAAAGGUGUACACCACCACCGACGGGCUAGUUACCCCCCCCUUUUUUAAGAUUAUUUAUUUAUUAUAUAUACAGUGUUCUCUCUGCACACCAGAAGAUAGCACCAGAUCUCAUGGUUGUGACCCACCGUGUGGUUGCUGGGAAUUGAACUCAGAAUCUCUGGAAGAGCAGCCAGUGCUCUGAGCUCUCUCUCCAGCCCCAGUUUUUUUGUUUUUGUUUGUUUUUAAUUCAUCCAUAACUUCAGAAGUGGGUCUCCUUCCCAAGCCUUCCUGGGAAGCUGCCAACCUAGGGAAAUGCUCCUGACUUGCUUAGUUUUCAUGGAAACAGUAUCCUGUAGCCAACUGGUCUGAUCUCACUGUGUAUGGGAGACUGUAGUGAAGGGUUACCUUCAUCCUCAAGUCGGUACCUCCUGAGUCCUGGGAUUACAGGCCUGAACCACUCACUAUGCCUGGUUUAUGAAGUGCUGGGGACGAGACUCAAGGCUUCUCAUGCCAAGCAAGCUCGUUACCAGUCCAGUCUCUACUGGGGUUGGGUUUUACCUUAAUACCCAGAGUCCUUUAAAUUUUGAAGCAAGAUUGCCACUCAGGCUACUUUACUGAAAAAUGGAAGUCACAAUCUUAUGGAAAAGUUGUCCUCUACAGACAGUAAGUGAAAAAUAAAAACGUUUAACCUACAACCUGAGUACA
rnacentral:lncRNA from 1 species